CGUAACAAUACUGAACACAUCAGUCUCAGCAAUAUAAAUAAUUGAUACACAUACAAUUUAAAACAACAACCAACUAAAAAUGUCCAAGAUACUGUUCGCAUGUAUUUUUAUGAUAGUCGUUAUUUUCACUAUGGGAUCCAGUGCUGAUGAGUGCGUAGGAUUCCUCCGCGAAUGUCGAUUCGAGCGUUGCUGUUCAGGACUAUGUACUAAAUUAUGGCCAUUUGAUCGACAAUUGUGCACAGGCAAUGAUAUAUAAUAAUUGGGCGGUAAUCUGUAGCUGGUAAAUCGUUUUACAAUUAGAUAAGUUUAUUGUAUAUAAAAAUGAAAUCAAAUUACUGUAAAAUCAUACGGAUGUAUAAUUAAUAUUUUGUUUUUUAAAUAAAAUAUCAAAGCUUUCUAAUAUUCAUUUAAAAUUAUUAU